rnacentral:rRNA from 1 species
UACGAAGGGGGCUAGCGUUGCUCGGAAUUACUGGGCGUAAAGGGUUCGUAGGUGGCCAACUAAGUCAGACGUGAAAUCCCUCAGCUUAACUAGGGAACUGCGUCUGAUACUGGAUGGCUCGAGUGCAGGAGAGGAACGCGGAAUUCCAGGUGUAGCGGUGAAAUGCGUAGAUAUCUGGAGGAACACCGGUGGCGAAGGCGGCGUUCUGGACUGUAACUGACACUGAGGAACGAAAGCCAGGGGAGCAAACGGG